rnacentral:rRNA from 1 species
AUACCGGCUGCUCGAGUGAUGGCCACUAUUACUGGGUUUAAAGCGUCCGUAGCUUGACUGUUAGGUCUCUUGGGAAAUCUUCACGCUCAACGUGAAGGCGUCUAAGAGAUACCGGCAGUCUUGGAACUGGGAGAGGUGAACCGUACUUCGGGGGUAGGAGUGAAAUCUUGUAAUCCUCGAGGGACGACCUAUGGCGAAGGCAGUUUACCAGAACAGCUUCGACAGUGAGGGACGAAAGCUGGGGGAGCAAACGGGAUUAGAUACCCCGGUAGUCCCAGCCGUAAACAAUGUGCGUUAGGUGUGUCGGUAACCACGUGUUACUGAUGCGCCGAAGAGAAAUCGUGAAACGCACCACCUGGGAAGUACGGUCGCAAGGCUGAAACUUAAAUGAAUUGGCGGGG